rnacentral:rRNA from 1 species
UCCUACGGGAGGCAGCAGUGGGGGAUAUUGCACAAUGGGGGGAACCCUGAUGCAGCGACGCCGCGUGGGUGAAGAAGCGCCUCGGCGCGUAAAGCCCUGUCAGCAGGGAAGAAAAUGACGGUACCUGAAGAAGAAGCCCCGGCUAACUACGUGCCAGCAGCCGCGGUAAUACGUAGGGGGCAAGCGUUAUCCGGAUUUACUGGGUGUAAAGGGAGCGUAGGCGGCAGUGCAAGUCAGAAGUGAAAGCCCGGGGCUCAACUCCGGGACUGCUUUUGAAACUGUACAGCUUGAUUGCAGGAGAGGCA